rnacentral:rRNA from 1 species
AUUGAACGCUGGCGGCAUGCCUAACACAUGCAAGUCGAACGGCAGCACGGGGGCUUGCACCUGGUGGCGAGUGGCGAACGGGUGAGUAAUACAUGGGAACAAUUCCCGUAGUGGGGAGAGAUAGGCGAAAGCCAGGUUGAUUACUACCGGGAACGACGCGGGAAAGCAUGGGACCCGCGUGGAAAGAGCUUCGGGGCUGGCCGAGCGCGGGUUAGCUAGGUGGGGGGGUAAAGGCCUACCAAGGCGACGAUCAGAAGAUGGGCUGGGAGGAGGACCAGCCACACUGGAACUGAGACAGGGCCACGACUACUACGGGAGGCAGCAGUGGGGAACUUUAGACAAUGGGCGAAAGCAUGACACAGCAAUGCCGAGUGUGUGAAGAAGGCCUUGGGGUUGUAAAGCACUCUUGUCCGGAAAGAACUCCUUGGCCCUAAUACGGUCGGAGGAUGACGGUACCGGAAGAAUAAGCACCGGCUAACUACGUG